GAUACCAUGAUCAAAUAGGUGGUUCACCCAUAGCGAGGCUCAGCCAUUGCACUGAGGCUGUUGCUGACCCGUGCAAAUUCCCCAAAUGUGGGAAUCUCGAUUGCAUAAUUUCUGGUAGUGGGGGACUGCGUUCGCGCUCUCCCCUGGUCGUGUUGUUCUAAAGAAAUAAUAGCUAUGAAUGAUACCACCCUGAGCACGCCCGAUCUCGUCUGAUCUCGGAGGCUAAGCAGGGUCCGGCCUGGUUAGUACUUGGAUGGGUGACCGCCUGGGAAUGGCUCAUGACCCCCCAAAGUCCCUAUCCCUCAACCCUGGGAUCGAUCCAAAAGGAUCGAGGAUCAAAACGGACGGCUCCAUCUGGUGGCCACUGGUGGGUGGUUUUAUUUUCAGAAAUGUCAUGUGCAAGGCCUAGAUUAUCAAAAUCCACUAGUCUGCUGGAUGUUUUGUUUAUUAUUUUCAUACUUUGAGUGGAUGUAGCUGAUGAGAUUCAUACAAUCAAGUGGAAAAGUGUUAAAUUGUUACAUUUUUGGGCUGAAUUAAGAAAAAUAAUAAGAAUGUAUUCAGUGCACUCUCACUUUUUCUGGAAGACAUCAGAGCCAUUCACAGAACUCAUUGUUUUGACCACACAGGGAGUGCAGCCAUCACAGUGGGGGUGUAUUCACACCGCUGGUUGCGGGAGUGAAGACACAAGGACUUCUAAUUGCUUUGGUGUGUUUUUUCUUUCCAAUACCCCACCCCUUCUGAAACCCAAGCACACUGAGACUCCAAAAUACUUUUACAACUUUUAUUUUUCAACCAGAAUGUGUUUCAUUGAAAAGGCAAUCCAUAUAAACACAAAUAAACAAGAUCAUUUUAGUUAAAAGCUCGCCCACCACGACUAGGUACAGAUCUACAGGCGAGAACACGAGAGCAUGAGACGAGAGACAAACAUGUACUACCAUUUGCAAACAUUUAGUUAAACAUGGAGCUGACAGACAUACACACAUAACAAGGACAGGCACAUAUUAAUAAUAAUAAAAAACACUCAACAAUUAAAGAACACACACACACACACACACACACUUGUACUUAAGAUACAAAUCAACAAUUGGCUUGUACAGGCUAAAGUGCAAUAAUGAACAUGAUUAUCCAUAGACUCAGGUGACCAAUCAACAAAUAAAGGCUCAAGCUGUUCCUCCCUUUUGUGUUUUCUUUAGCAAACUUUUGUUAAAACUGAAGCAGACAAAUACAUACAAACAUCACAAAGACAUGAAGCUGACAAAGACAAACAACAUGCAUGACAAAAACACCGAUUAUCUGAACAUGAACAACCACUAAAGGGUAUGUAAACUGAUUGUGUUAGAUUGGAACUGAUUAUGGUUUAAAAGAUUGGCCUCGAUAUUGAACAUAGAGCAGAAUGGAUACUACAAAGUUAAUUUUAACAGCAAUAUAAAUAAUAAUAAAUAAAAAACGAACAAAAGAACUUCAAGUAAAACUGCAAAGUGCCUUUUUUUUUAACGAUAUAAAUAAAUAGAUAGUGCUUGAUAGUGUUUAAAAAACACACACAAAGACAAAGACAAACACACACAAACAAGCCUCUUUCUCUCUCUUACAGAUGGCACAGGAACAGUGGCAUCACAGAGCCUCGUGAUGGAUGUGCCGGUACUGGACCUGAGGCCGGUCUGGCGGAGCAGUCGCUCCUUCUGCCACUUCAGCAGCUCGUUCUGCUCUCCCUGCUGGCAGUACUGGAACAGCAGCCACACCAGCCAGCCGACAUCAUUCUCCACAAGCCACCUGAAGGUCUGACCGGCGUACUUCCCGAACGUGAUGACCAGCUGACCUUUCCAAAGGUCUCUGCUGUCUUGAAAUCCAGCCAUUUAGGGUCAACAACAGUGCUGCUGCGGGCCUCUGCCACAGACCUUGCUGCCUCUGUACAGUACAGCCUGGCCUCUCUUUGCCGGUACAAAAUUAUGUUGGGGUACUGGUGUAGCUGUUGAUGGCUGACCAGCGAUGGUUUAGUGGCCAAGCUCUUCCCGCAGACGUCACAGAUAAAGGUCUCCCUGGCGAUGGCAUGGAUCUUCAGAUGCUUGCCAGGUUGGACUUUUCACCGAAUGUCUUGUCGCACACGGUGCACUGAUGUGUAGGCAUGUUCCAUCUGGUACAGUAAAACAUGAAUAAAUGAGUAAAACUAAAAGCAGAUCAUUUAGAUUGACAAUAUGUAGCCCUUUAUUAUACAGAAAUCUGCUGUUGGUGUAUUAGCCUAGGACAACAAGCUCGCCAGAUUGUCAAGAGAUUAACACGGUCGCCAAAUUGCUUCAGGUUACAAUUACUCUCGCAUCAGCUGUUGUCUAAACAGUCACAUUUACCCAUAUUAACACAUAUCCACAUCAAAUUGACCAAGAAAACGUUGAUUGUCGCCGAAAAGCAACAAGUUUGCAGGUAUGCGACGUAGCCCUUACUAUUGUAAACAGUGUCGUUAGCCGCGCCUAGCUAUCGUCACAAAACACACAUUAAUCAGCUUAUUAUUUCAACGACCCUUGGGUGAAUAUAGUAAUGCCAUACACCGUUGGAAAGCUUAGAUUGCCACGAUUAAAACGAGACUUCCCACGGGUAAUAUGGUUGCUCACCGACAGGCGUUAGGUUGACUAAAGUCUACCCAGCAGCUAAAAACGUACCCACUACUUCUUCCCUUUAUACACAACGACCGCGUUAUGACACGGUCGAAAUCUUUUCUCUUUCUACAAAAUCGAAACAGCUUAAUAUAAACCGUAAAAAAAAAUUCUAAUUAUUAACUAGCAAACGAUGCAGGGGAUAACAUUUACCUGAGUGAAUCCUCCGUCGACAGCUUCACCGGGGAAUACCACGUGCUGUAAGCUAUUUUCUUUUUCAACUCGAGCUCAUUGGCUGCAAUAGAGUUCCGGGUGUUAUAGAUAUAUAUUUAUUUGUCAUUGGACAGAAGUACAACGACAUUCAGUGCACUCACGUACUGGUCUCAUUUAAAAAGGUAACAUAAUAAAUAAUAAAUAAAGAAAGAAAAUACAUUCAACAUUUCGUUCACUCACUGCUUCACCUGUAGUCUCAUAGAAGCCUCCACUGCUCCAAACUCUAUUUGUGAAACAUGCAGACGGCCUAGUGAGACUGCCAGCAGGCAGCAGCAAAGAGAUGUAGCGACCUCGGUUUAUUUCUCCAGCUUUCACAGACACACAAACACGCACACAGAUUGCUUGGUCUUUUUUUUGUUUCGUCGUUGUCUGUUAAACCGCCAAGUGGAGCGACGUGUCUGGGAACCUCGCCUCUUGGUCUGAGCAUGUGGGAGCAUCGCUUCUCGGCCUUUUGGCUAAGAUCAAGUGUAGUAUCUGUUCUUAUCAGUUUAAUAUCUGAUACGUCCCCUACCCGGGGACCAUAUAUUAAAUUGAUUUUUGGAACUGGGAGAUGGAAAAGGGGCUUGCUCCGUCCACUCCA